rnacentral:rRNA from 1 species
CAAUAGCGUAUAUUAAAGUUGUUGCGGUUAAAAAGCUCGUAGUUGGAUUUCUGUUGAGGUCGGCCGGUCCCUACUUCGUAGGCGUAUCUGGUUCAGCCUUGGCAUCCUCCUAGGGAACGGCACUGCUCUUAACUGAGUGGUCCGGUAUCUAGGACUUUUACUUUGAGGAAAUUAGAGUGUUUACGGCAGGCAAUCGCCUUGAAUAUGUUAGCAUGGAAUAAUAAUAUAGGACCUUGGUUCUAUUUUGUUGGUUUCUAGGACUAAGGUAAUGAUUAAUAGGGAUAUUUGGGGGCAUUCGUAUUAACCGGUCAGAGGUGGAAUUCUUGGAUUCGGUUACGACGAACUACUGCGAAAGCAUUUGCCAAGGAUGUUUUCAUUG